rnacentral:rRNA from 1 species
CGCGGCCUAUCAGCUUGUUGGUGGGGUAAUGGCCUACCAAGGCGACGACGGGUAGCCGGCCUGAGAGGGCGACCGGCCACACUGGGACUGAGACACGGCCCAGACUCCUACGGGAGGCAGCAGUGGGGAAUAUUGCACAAUGGGCGAAAGCCUGAUGCAGCGACGCCGCGUGAGGGAUGACGGCCUUCGGGUUGUAAACCUCUUUCAGCAGGGACGAAGCGUAAGUGACGGUACCUGCAGAAGAAGCGCCGGCCAACUACGUGCCAGCAGCCGCGGUAAGACGUAGGGCGCGAGCGUUGUCCGGAUUUAUUGGGCGUAAAGAGCUCGUAGGCGGCUUGUCGCGUCGACUGUGAAAACCCGCAGCUCAACUGCGGGCCUGCAGUCGAUACGGGCAGGCUAGAGUUCGGUAGGGGAGACUGGAAUUCCUGGUGUAGCGGUGGAAUGCGCAGAUAUCAGGAGGAACACCGGUGGCGAAGGCGGGUCUCUGGGCCGAUACUGACGCUGAGGAGCGAAAGCGUGGGGAGCGAACAGGAUUAGAUACCCUGGUAGUCCACGCCGUAAACGUUGGGCGCUAGGUGUGGGGGACCUCUCCGGUUCUCUGUGCCGCAGCUAACGCAUUAAGCGCCCCGCCUGGGGAGUACGG